UACGGAGGGAGCUAGCGUUGUUCGGAAUUACUGGGCGUAAAGGGCGCGUAGGCGGUGGUGUAAGUCAGAUGUGAAAACCAUCGGCUUAACCGAUUGGAUUGCAUUUGAUACUGCAUCACUUGAGUUCAGUAGAGGAGAGUGGAAUUCCCAGUGUAGCGGUGGAAUGCGUAGAUAUUGGGAAGAACACCAGUGGCGAAGGCGGCUCUCUGGACUGAUACUGACGCUGAGACGCGAAAGCGUGGGGAGCAAACAGG
rnacentral:rRNA from 1 species